CUUCUCCUCUCACUCUCUUCCUUCUUCUCCGACGUUCUCACCACGAAACCCUAGCGUAACGAAGCUAACGAUCGCGUCGGACAAGCAAAGAACAUUGUACUUGCUGGUGUCAAAUUAAUCUAUCACUCUACACGAUGUAGAGAAUGUGGAAAUGUGGGAUUUGUCUAGCAACUUCUUUUUAGCUGAGGAAGAUAUUUGUAAACGUUGGCUUAAAUAGGCCAGCAUUCUGCCAUGUGGCGGGAGGCUAUAUGUGGGUCGAGUCAUAUUCGAAAUGAUGUGAGGCUGGGUUGGACUGAGUCAUGUUCGAAGUGGCGUGAGGCUGGUUGGGCCGAGCCACAAUCGAGAUCCGUGGGCGCUGUAUCUGUACUUUAUAAGUGAAUUGAUUCUGUAUUUCUAACA